rnacentral:rRNA from 1 species
UACGGAGGGUGCGAGCGUUGUCCGGAAUCAUUGGGCGUAAAGGGCGCGUAGGUGGCCCGGUCAGCGUGCGGUGAAAGCUCGGGGCUCAACCCCGAGUCGGCCGUGCGAACUGCUGGGCUGGAGCACUGUAGAGGCAGGCGGAAUUCCGGGUGUAGCGGUGGAAUGCGUAGAGAUCGGGAGGAACACCAGUGGCGAAGGCGACUACCUGGACCAGCACGUGACACUGAGGCACGAAAGCGUGGGGAGCAAACAGGG